rnacentral:lncRNA from 1 species
UUUUUUUUUUUAAUUUUUUUUUAAAUUUUUAUUUAUGAUAGUCAUAGAGAGAGAGAGAGAGAAUGAGACAGAGACACAGGCAGAGGGAGAAGCAGGCUCCAUGCACCGGGAGCCCGAUGUGGGAUUCGAUCCCGGGUCUCCAGGAUCGCGCCCUGGGCCAAAGGCAGGCGCCAAACCGCUGCGCCACCCAGGGAUCCCUUCCCUCUCUCUUUAAAAACUUAAGAUAAAUUACUUACACCCAGAAGUCCAUAAUCUAAUCCCAAUUUAUCUUUAUACAACUUAACUAGAGUCGAAUCCUUUGCUCAGGUGAGGUAUUUUACCUUCCUGUGGGCUCCUCAUUCUACCCACUGUUGGCAAUUACUUCUUCAGUUCUUUAUGUGGUGUUUUAAAUGAAGAGAGCUAUAAAUAAAAUAUGUUUUUAUGCAGUGUGUAUACUGUCCUAGAAACUGAACCAAACCUGCUGAAAAACAUGACCUGAUUUGAGAAUCCUGGACAUGAAUACCACUGCUUGAAAUUCCAUUAGUUACAUAUUCUGGAUCCUCUAAAAUCAACCUCUAUUAAAAUGAAAAAUUCACAUGGUGCAGACAAGCCCUCACUUCCUAAGGUGAAUUUCCUCCUAAGCAUACUUCUUCCUGGGUUCAAGAGAAGAAACCAUGACCAAAAAUCAGAAAAAAGGUGAGAACUGGCAAAACAAAAACUAGAAGCCAGUCUGAAUCUUCACUUUUCUGUAAGGCUAAUGUGUUUGCUUUAGGGUUAACUUAGCCUAGGUAUGAUUAUAAACAUCACAAACAAACAAAAAUAAAUAAAAUUAAAAUUAAAAAAAAAUAAAAUAAACAUCGCAAACCUUUCAAAGAAAGCAAGCCAGAACUCUCAACACCUUGUUACACAAGAUUUUUAAAGCUUAUCAGAAAAAUUUAAAAAUACCACCACUUGGUAAAAGCUGUAGAAUUCAGAUUAAAAUUUAGUCAUAAUAUCUGUAAUUCUAUUAAAUCAUUCCAAACAUCGCUUAGGGCUAAAAGACUCAUCUCCCUGAGAUGACUCGAAGAGAUCAAGAGUCACAUGCUCCUCUGAGCCAGCUAGGCACCCCAAAGGCUCAUCUAUAUUUUAAGUAAAAUAGCAUCAGAUUCAUAGGAAAUAAAAGAGAAAAUUUUAAGCUGCUUCUACUACUCAAAUAUUAUUUUUUCUUGUUUUUUAGCCAUACCAUUUAGUUCCCUAUUUAUUUAAUGCCGUACUACAAAGGUCUUGGGGGAACAUAAAGUAUAACAUGUGGUUGUGGUUCUCCAAUCUCAAAGGGCUUAGAAAUAUA